GGAUUGAGGAAGAAACAUAUACUGUGUUCCAAGUUCAGUUAAGAUGGUUUAGUGUCCAUUUGGUUGUCUUAUUUUUUCCAGCAGAUUAUCUGAAGAUUUAGAAAUGGGCAACAGUAAGGUUCAUCUAGCUCUGGUAUUUUGCCAGGCAGGUACAACAGAAAAGCAAGAUAGGAAAGAUAAGGGUAUUGGAAAGAAGGAGGAAGGGAUGGGCCAUAGAAUGUCAAUCAGGAGAGGAAGAAAUGAAGAUAGUCAGGAACUGAGAGGAAGAUACAAAGUAAAGAAUCUUUGAAUUGGAAGAUCUCAAUGAGGAAAAAGAGUGAUAGGUUGAAAGUCAUUUGAUUAAAGGUUAUGCUGAGAGAGUCUGACGUUUGAAAAAAUGUUUUUGGAGCUGAAGCAUUUCCAGAAAAUGACAUGUUCCAGGGUGUGUCUAUGGGAAUGACUGGCUGACGUGGAGGAGGUCCAUGGAAGUUAGUAAGUCAAGGCAGUAAGUGACCAGAGUAUCAAAUAAGGAUAUGAUGUCAUCCUGAAAAUGGGUGGAUGUUGGACAGACAGGAAGACUCUGAGGGUGUCAAAAGCAGGGUUGAAGAGAGGUCAGUACCCAACAGCAAGCAGAAGGUGUUGAACGGCAGUAUUGCUCAGUGGAACGAUUUCCACAGAAGCUGGGAGACUUUAUAUGAGAGGGAAGAUGAGAAAUAAUCUGAAACUGACGGAGUGGAAAAAGCAUAAAGGUUUCAUUUACUAAUAGAAAUCACAGAACUGGAAGCUAUUGGAGAAUACACAUCUUCAAAAUGAGGAGAAAUACAAGAAAAGGAAGACAAGAAUUCAAGAAGCCGGGCAUCCAACAAUAAUAACUAAAGAGGCAGGGUAGUUCUCAGGAUGAUGUAACAGAAAGUCCAGAUUGGUGAAAGACAAUGAAGAACUACAAGAGGUUUGUACUCCGAAAAGAAGAAGGAAAAAAGUGGAAUUCACAGUUUGUCUAAAGUUUUUGAUCAUGUUUCAAGGAAGUAUAUGGUUCUGUGCAAAGUUAGCAAAAGGUACAUUUAAAAAAAUGAGAAAAAAAACAAAAUCAGGCAACUACCAACUAAAAGAAGUAUAAGGAAUUUGGUACAAAAAAGGAAAUUAAUUAUGCACUACAUGCUAACUUGUUAACAAUUUUUACAUAGUACCAAUACGAUAAAUACAAUGUUAAUUUCAAACUGCAAUUAAUUAUGCUGGAAGGAUGUGGGAAGUGGGAGUGUUAAGAGAGUUAAAUUAUAAUCUUCAUAACAGGAAGUCAACAGAUAAUACUUACUGAAUAUUUCUACUUUUUGGAGGGAUGUUGGGUUGGGGAGCUACUGUUUCAUUUCCUUAAAAUACUAUUUGGCUUUUUAAAUUGCCUGUGCACAUGCAUACACAUACAUAAUCUAAAGUUAAAUUUUUAAAACCACAUAUAAAAAGCCAUGUGGGAAAAGAAUUAUUGUGAAUGCUUAGUAGAAGAAUGUAGGCACAGCACAUAAUACAAUGUUGAUACGCAACAGAGUAUUAAUAAAGUCCCCAAGAUUUGCCCGCUUGGGAUAGUCUUAGUAACAAAAGUUAAUCUUGUUAAUAAAACAGUCAACAAAUAUAUAAAUCCUUACUCAUCAGUCCCUAGUAAAGUUUUCCAAGUGUUGUGGAAGAUAUAAAGAAAUAUGAAACAUAAUCCUUACAUUAAAAUACCGUUAAUAACAGUUAUGGCAGUUAAUAUUUAAUUGGUGUUAAAUGUACAGUAGGUACUGUCCCAAGUUCUUUACAUAUUAUCUCUUUUAAUUCUAUGAGAUAGACACUAUUAUCUCCAUUUUAUCAUAUAAAUGAGGAAACUGAGGCACACUAAAAUGAAGUAACUUGUCCAGGUCAUAGAGCUCAUAUAAAGAGGGAGGUAGGAUUCCAAUCCAAGCAGAAGGCUUGGGAGUCUCAAAUUGCUUUAUAAUCUAAUUGAGGGGGAGAAGAAACAGAGCUAAACAACCUCAUAUGAUUUAAGGAGCAGUUCAACAUAAUCCUGGAAGAGAUGUCACAAACAAACGCAAGCAUAUUUUAGGGGAAAUUGCUGUAUUACACUAGGAGCUCAGAAGAGAGCGCAAACGCUUCAGAUUGAUAGCCAAGGAAACAUUUAAUUGGAUCAGCUGGGUGGGGAGGGCAUUCCUUGUAAGUGAAUCAACAUGCAGAGGUGGUAACCAUAGCAUGCCAGGGAUCGGCGAGGAUAGCACAUUUUGUUCAUCCAGAAAUAAAACCUGUGAGAGCAAAGCAGGAAAGGCCUAAUAUCAAAUUAUACAUGGCCUUGAAAGUAGACUAAGCAGCUUGGACUUUAUUUUGUGAAAACGGGAAGUGAUUGCUGAGCACGUGAAGUUAAUCUGGACAUUGAACAUAUAAUCAACUGACAGGAAGAGAAUAAGUAAUGGCUUAUUGCGGCAGUCUGGAUAAGAUUUAUCAAAAUCUCAAACUAGCCUGGGGUGAGGGUAGAAUUGGCUGGAUCCUGGAUGAGAAGUCCCACAAGGACUUACAGAAACAAUUUGCAUUUUAUCUUUCUACCAAGGAGAAAAGUUUUUCAAACUACAAAGGCUAGAUAUAAUUAAAAGGAAAUCAAAUUUCAAAAAGUUCAAGUAAGAGUAUCUGCUUUGAAAAAAUGAGUUUCUAAGUUUCAACAAGUUACAAAACAGCAUAAUCAAAUACUUAACUAUUAUGAUUAUGAAUCGGCUGGCAGGACUUCUUUUAAAAUGAAAGUAAAGCUUUCUAGAUGUAACAAUAAAGCAUGCUCAAUGUGGAAAAAUAUAUAAAGAAAAAAAUCAGUAAACUUAUUCCAAUACCCUUA